GGACCCGUAGCUCAGCCUGGAUAGAGCGCUUGCCUUCUAAGCAAGAUGUCGCAGGUUCAAAUCCUGUCGGGUCCG
rnacentral:tRNA from 1 species